rnacentral:rRNA from 1 species
GCUGGAAUCGCUAGUAAUCGCGAAUCAGAAUGUCGCGGUGAAUACGUUCCCGGGUCUUGUACACACCGCCCGUCACACCAUGGGAGUCGGAAAUGCCCGAAGUCAGUGACCCAACCACAACGUGAACUUCGUUCGCGUGGAGGGAGCUGCCGAAGGUGGAGCCGGUAACUGGGGUGAAGUCGUAACAAGGUAGC